rnacentral:rRNA from 1 species
AUGCUGAGAGUUAAGCGAAGAGCUAGAUACUUAAAUGGACAGCAAAAAAAUGGUAAGAGCCUAAAGAAAGUAUCCAGCAUCUUGACUGAUUGUAAAGAUACGGCGGAGAGCAUCGAGCAAAAACUUUGUUGGACGGAACUCGGUCAAGAACUUGCUACCAAGUUUUCCGCAAGCAUUGUCUCGCUUGCUUCAUAUGAUGGAGACAAGCUGCAUUAUAAAAGCACAGGCAUAGUUGUUGAAAACAGUUUACGUAACACAUCUAUUCUCACCUCGUCAGCUUUGGUUAGCACAUCAGAUAGUGGACGUAGGUUCAUCUUUGGACUGAAGAUAAAAUUGCGCCUUCCAAAUAACCAAGUGGUCGAUGGGUGGAUACAACAUUCUGUUUUGCCUUUCAGUAUGGUUAUGGUGGUCACUACAUAUUCCCCUGAUCUUCGUACAGUAUGUUUCAGUAACAGCGUGCAAGUUCAGCGGCAUACUGAUUUGUUAGCUCUCAAGCGUUGUUUCCAGUCAGGCAAGUUAAUGCAAACACAUGGGGUACCAAGUGAUGAUCCAAGUAAAAUUGACAGCAAAGGGCGUAUGUUGUCCACAUGCAAAAUUACUAUGGAUGGAAGUGGUGGUCCACUUGUUGAUCCUGAUGGGAAUAUUGCUGGGAUGAAUGACUACCAUGAUCAGGAAGGAACUCCAUAUGUGCAAGGAAAUAAGAUUGAUGAAUGUUUGAGGGUUGCUCGGAUAAGUAGGGAGGAAAUGCAACGAAAUUACUGGCAAAAUCUUUCCAGUGCUUUAAGGCGCCAUCUAGAAGGUAGCUCCAAUCAAAAUGGCUGUAGUGGGGGAAAUGAAAAUAAUAACCAGAAACAAGUUUUAUCUUCUAUCCCUGAGCCACAAGCACUAGAAUUCAAUGAGGAUGCACCUACACCAGAGCUCAUUGAUGACGAACAUAAGCGUGUUCUAGCUCCCUGGCCAUCUAAUGGCCUUACAAAGAUGAUAAAUGAUCAAUUAAAGUCUGAUGGUUAUCCCUUACCAGUUUAUGCUGAUGGAGGCAUGCGUUUGGAAGCUAAUUUUGAAGAGAAAUUUGGCACAGAUAUCUUGAGUGAACCUGCUAGAAGAAUUACUUUAAAGAUGUCUCGGAGUGUUGUUGCACUCGCUUCAUUCAAUGGUGAUUUAAUGUUAUUAGCAAGGCAUUUUGCUUGCACAGGUGUAUGUAUAGAAUUUGAUGGAUCGACAUCCACCACAAGAGUUCUGACUUCAGCAAGCUUGGUUAGAACUUCUGGUGAUGAAAACGAGAUUGUUGAUAACCUAGAGAUUAAAGUGUGUCUUCCAAGUGAGCUGUGCAUUAUAGGGAAAUUAGAAAAAUAUGAUUUCUGCUAUAAUGUUGCUGUUAUCAGCAUCCCCAUGUUUCGCAGUAAUCGACCAGCAAUAUUGGUUGAUGCACCUCAAACUGAGGUAUUAGCUCUUGGCCGUGUCUUUAAAUCAGGCAAGAUUAUGGCUGCAGAGGGGUCAGUGACUGGCGAACGAUGUAAAUUUGGUUGCAAAGAGCUUAAGAUCUCCACCUGUAAAAUCACCAAGGCUGGAAUUGGAGGGCCCAUUGUUGAUUUUAAGGGGAAUGUUGUUGGCAUGAACUUCUAUGACACGGAAGGAACUCCUUACCUGCCAAGUAAGAUAAUUAUGAAAGUAUUGAGGAGUUUCGAUGCAGAGCGGCCUGUUGCUGCUGGUAUUACAAAGAAGCCUAUUUCUCGUUGGCCGUUGCCGAAGCCAUAUUGGUAUUACCCGAGUGGACAUCGUCACCGUACAGUCGUAAGAUUGAACCAAUGA